GUGGGGAAUUUUGGACAAUGGGCGAAAGCCUGAUCCAGCCAUGCCGCGUGCAGGAUGAAGGCCUUCGGGUUGUAAACUGCUUUUGUACGGAACGAAAAGACUCCUUCUAAUAAAGGGGGUCCAUGACGGUACCGUAAGAAUAAGCACCGGCUAACUACGUGCCAGCAGCCGCGGUAAUACGUAGGGUGCAAGCGUUAAUCGGAAUUACUGGGCGUAAAGCGUGCGCAGGCGGUUAUAUAAGACAGAUGUGAAAUCCCCGGGCUCAACCUGGGAACUGCAUUUGUGACUGUAUAGCUAGAGUACGGUAGAGGGGGAUGGAAUUCCGCGUGUAGCAGUGAAAUGCGUAGAUAUGCGGAGGAACACCGAUGGCGAAGGCAAUCCCCUGGACCUGUACUGACGCGCAUGCACGAAAGCGUGGGGAGCAAACAGGAUUAGAUACCCGAGUAGUCC
rnacentral:rRNA from 1 species